ACACUGUAUCUUUGGUCCUUGAUGUCCAGUAUGCUCCAAAGCUCCCGUCUGUGUCAGUGAUUUCCUCUGGUGUGAUAUCAGAGGGAACCUCAGUGACGCUGAGCUGCAGCAGUGAUGCUAACCCAGCAGCUAAUUACACCUGGUACAAGGAGGAUGAAGACUCACCAAAAGCUUCAGGAAACAACUUCACUAUCAGUGACUUCAGAGCUGAAAACGGUGGAAAUUAUUACUGUGAUGCCCAGAACAGCAGAGGACGACGUAGAUCCAGAUUUCAUCCGAUUGAAGGGGAAGGUACUUUUUAACUUGUCUCUUAAUUAUCUGAUGACUCCACCAGAGAUCAGUGACAUCACAAAACACACGAUAGAAAACCAACCCAGCUCCACAAUGAAUAAUUACAUGUGGAUUAGUUUUUGUUUUCAUCAGGCUCAUUUUAAAUACAGUUUGAAUCAUCGACAAAAGUCCAAUUAAAACAACACAAUGUACAAAGUUAUAUUUGUUCAAUUACCUUCAACACAUGGAACCAGUAAUAUGUGUGUUAAAUUAUUUGUUUUCAGGUCCAUGGAAGUUUCCAGUAUCUGUUUUGAUUAAAGUUAUUUCUCUGCUUUUCUUCAUCGUCUCAUCCUUACUGUUGAUAAGAGAGAGGUGCUUGAAGAACCAGCUGAGGACUGAGGAGAGACCAGAAUACAGUAUAGAGAUGGUCGAUUAUCAGAAUGUUACAAUUCCCACAUCGGAGACAAACCUCAUCCAUUCAACUAUUCCAACAUGAAGAGCAGGACACAGCCUCAGCUCUCAGGGAGGUGCAGGAAGGAGAGAUGGAGCAGCUGAGGAGGAUUCAUCAGGACUGAACAGAGUCCAUGAAGACAGCAGAGCUGAAUGAAUUCUUGUAGACACAUUUACCAAAAUGCAGUAACGAGGGGAAAAUGUAAUAUUAAACACAUCUCUGAGCGAAGAAGCAUAUGCACAUUUAUCGUAGCGCUGUAAGACCUUAGCAGGAAGUAACAGCCUUUAUCCUUUUGUAAAAUCUUUCAUGUGGCUGGAGCUGGUGACCAUCU